rnacentral:lncRNA from 1 species
GUGAAAUAGAAGUCAAUACAUUCUUGCUCAAUCCUGUGUCGCUUUGAAGAUUUCCUGAUUGUCAUGACAUCCUCAGCCUAAGCAAUGUUAUUACUGUAAUUUGAAUUUCAAAAUGACCGUGUGCCGUUUUUUCAACGCACUGGUCAACUCCACGAUAGAUAUCACAUGACUUUGACAAUCAGUAAAUACCACGAAAAAUAUAUUGAUAAGUAAAGAAUUGUCGUAUAAAAAUUAAAUACUCGGGAAAUGGCAAAGUUCACGAAGUCUAGUCUGAUUAAUAAUUUUCCAAAAAAAAACAAAAAAAAAGUCCGCGCAAAGGGGGGGCGUACGCCCUCUACGCCCCCCUCUGAAUCCGCCACUGAAUAUAUAUGAAAAUGUGGAUAAAAAAUUCUAGUCUUAAAUUAUUUUGCUAAAUUUUCAAAAUUGUUCAUUAUCAAAUACCAUAAGUUACUAUGCAGUGGUUUUCAUAUAGUCUUAGCAUUCAGGGACAGUUGUAAAUAGUAUUAUCUCCCCUUAAUUACUCCAUUUAAACUGCACUGCAUUAUGGUUACAUUCCAGUGCCAAAAAAGUUUUAUAUAUUUCUUAGUUAGAAAAGAGCGGUGAAUAAUACAUACAUUUGCAUAUUUAUUAGUCAAAUUUAGUGAUUCAUGUUUUUUGAGACCCCUUUAAAAUUCAGCAGACAUCAAAACUUUCUUUAUUAAAUUUGAGAGUAAACAUUUCUAUAAUUCUGUACACUAUACUUUUUAAGCAGUGCAGUUUCUAUGUUGCCACAACUUUUAUGAUAAGAUAAAAGCUAUUAAAAAACUAAAAAUUUAAUUAAAAUGUGUUAUUUGAUAUGGAUAUGUAAUUACACAUAGUCACACAGCAAACAGUCACUAUUUAUAUUACAUGUCACUUUAUAUAGAAUUAAUGUAUAAUUUUAUAAAGACAAAUUCAUGAAAGGUCAGUGUUUAAUUGAUUGUUAGUUAGAAUAAGAGAUUUCAAAUGAUUUAGUGUAAUUACCAUGGUAACAAAGCUGUUACUCUAGAGUCCAUUAUGUUAUAAGUCAGAAAUUGUUAGAAAUAAAAGCAGUUUAUUAAUGAUUUGUUUGUGUCAUUGCACUUAACUCAUAAAGAAUAUUGUAUAAAACUAGAUGUGUCAAAAUAACACGAAUGGUAAAAAAGUCCAAAGUCUUGUGAUAUCAUCAAAAUGCAGUGGUGUUGAUACAAACAUAAACUUGAUCUGAAACGCAUUA